rnacentral:lncRNA from 10 species
AUGGCGAGCGGGGCGACACCGAAGCAGCCCACGGAGCUCGAGGCGACGCUGCUGAGCCUGGUUCCCCAAAGCGGCCGCGCCACUCCCCGCUUCCCCGCCCGGCUCCGGGCCCCAGGCCCUGGGACGCCGAGCCACCGCCGGCGUUUCAGACGCAAACCCCACCGCGACCCUGCAGCAGCCUGCCCCGCCUGGCCGCCAGAGGCACCUUCCAACUCCGAAACACAUUUUUCAACAUAUAAUAGAAUCAUUAUCAGAGGUGGACACAUUUAGAAGUUGUUCUUAAUCAGAGGGCAGCUUGUGCUUAGGAAAGCCAGCCUCAGUCCUCAGCACCCAGCACCCAGUGCUGCAGGUUUCUCCUGGGUGAAGAUGGACCAGCCCACCUUGGCCCUCCGGCAAGCUAGAACAAUAUGUACACGUCUCUCAAACUAUGAAGAGAAGAUUUGGGAGGAGUAUGAGAAAAUCCUCAAUACCAAACUAGCAGAGCAAUACGAGUCGUUUGUGAAAUUCACACAUGAGCAGAUUAUGCGACCAUGUGGGACAAGCCCAACAAACUAUGUGUCUUGA